GAGCGUGCUUCUCUUCAUUUGCCGAAUAAGUCUUUCGCCUCUUACUAAAGAUUUCCGUAAAGAGGGGCACUCUAAUGUUAUCUUAUUUUUUAUAUACAUACAUAGGAAUC